rnacentral:tRNA from 1 species
GAGUGGGCCCAGAGGCAGAGUAUCUGCUUGGCAUGCAGAAAGUCCCAGGUUCCAUCCCUAGCAUCUCCA